rnacentral:rRNA from 1 species
AGAGUUUGAUCCUGGCUCAGGACGAACGCUGGCGGCGUGCCUAAUACAUGCAAGUCGAGCGAGCUGAAUUCAAAGAUCCCUUCGGGGUGAUUUGUUGGACGCUAGCGGCGGAUGGGUGAGUAACACGUGGGCAAUCUGCCCUAAAGACUGGGAUACCACUUGGAAACAGGUGCUAAUACCGGAUAACAACAUGAAUCGCAUGAUUCAAGUUUGAAAGGCGGCGUAAGCUGUCACUUUAGGAUGAGCCCGCGGCGCAUUAGCUAGUUGGUGGGGUAAAGGCCUACCAAGGCGAUGAUGCGUAGCCGAGUUGAGAGACUGAUCGGCCACAUUGGGACUGAGACACGGCCCAAACUCCUACGGGAGGCAGCAGUAGGGAAUCUUCCACAAUGGACGCAAGUCUGAUGGAGCAACGCCGCGUGAGUGAAGAAGGUUUUCGGAUCGUAAAGCUCUGUUGUUGGUGAAGAAGGAUAGAGGCAGUAACUGGUCUUUAUUUGACGGUAAUCAACCAGAAAGUCACGGCUAACUACGUGCCAGCAGCCGCGGUAAUACGUAGGUGGCAAGCGUUGUCCGGAUUUAUUGGGCGUAAAGCGAGCGCAGGCGGAAUGAUAAGUCUGAUGUGAAAGCCCACGGCUCAACCGUGGAACUGCAUCGGAAACUGUCAUUCUUGAGUGCAGAAGAGGAGAGUGGAAUUCCAUGUGUAGCGGUGGAAUGCGUAGAUAUAUGGAAGAACACCAGUGGCGAAGGCGGCUCUCUGGUCUGCAACUGACGCUGAGGCUCGAAAGCAUGGGUAGCGAACAGGAUUAGAUACCCUGGUAGUCCAUGCCGUAAACGAUGAGCGCUAGGUGUUGGGGACUUUCCGGUCCUCAGUGCCGCAGCAAACGCAUUAAGCGCUCCGCCUGGGGAGUACGACCGCAAGGUUGAAACUCAAAGGAAUUGACGGGGGCC